ensembl:ncRNA T06F4.17 ncRNA
AACGUUAAAAGAGAGAGUGCGAUUCGGGGCGCGAUCCGCAGAGAAACGGCAAGAUGAGACGAAACGGCGCCAGAAGCAUCGGGCGGCUGGAGAUAGGCGACCGGCUGGAAAAACCCUCUGCCAUCCAGACUGGAUAUGCGAGAAGAGACGUUGGGGGACGGGGUGUGUGACACGGCUCAUCGUGCGAACCCCCCGAACAUGUUUUACCCCCAUCUGUCUCUCACUCAUUCCUAUA